rnacentral:rRNA from 1 species
GUGCAGUGAUGUACGGAGCGGACCAAUACUAAUCGGUCGAGGACUUAACCAAG